AGAAGAACUCAAAGGAUCUGGCCAUUAUCCAAAGGCAAAGAUAAUCAAAUGAUGGCACCCUCUUUGUGACGCUCAAUUCUUUGAGAUGUAGGUCUGUUACUGCACAAAAGGGCAUGAUCUACUCUCAGCAAGACAAAAGCCAAUUGUCAAGAGGCAAGAUGGCGGCAGAGAAAAGGCAUUUUAUUACAGCUUACUAGCAAGAGGGAAGAUGGCUGACUAACAUCCAAAAGAACCAUCUUAAGGGGGCACAGAAUCUUAAAGCAACAAAGAAUUUACAAUUACAAAUUUUCUAAAGUAAAUACUCUGAAAGAAAAGGGAGUCUCUGCCUUUUUGCACCAAGGCAAGUCCCCCCUCCCACCUUGCGUUUACUCUGGGGCAGGAUGCUCCCCCUUCGCUGCCUGCAGUGGGCUUUUCCCUUGUCAUUGACUCCUAAAAGAACUGCAAACUCUCCGACAAUAACAGUUGUUCCAUGUUUCUUCUUGAUCUCAAGCUAAGCAUCUUCCUUCUACAUCUGAGGUUCUGCUGGCCUCAUCGUUGCUCCAGUAACUUGAGCUUCAUUAAGGGCAAUUGGAACCGAAAGCAAAACAUUCCCAUUAAUUAACUAAUUUCCAAAAAAAGGAAAAAAAAGGUUACACCAUUGCAAGUAGACAUCUAUCAUUUUAAACUUCUGAGGUAUGAAAUAUUUACUCUUUAACAAAGCUAAGGUAUAUAAUGAAAAUCCUGCAACAAAUGUAGGCAGCUUCACCUCAGAAAUUUUUGAGGCAUUCAUUGAAAUAACACAUUUUAAGUUCUCUGUAGAUUUUUCUUCUUCCAACAUCUGCAUGUAGGAAAAAAAAACAAGUGUUUCAGUAUUUCAACGGAAACCCUAUGCAAUACACAAAGAAAAAGAAAAAAUAUCAACAAAACAUAUUCUAUAGCUAGCCACAAUAUUCAGAUAAAAAGAGUUGCUCCACUGGGGGCCUAGAAGAAAAUUCAGGUGCAUAAUGAAAUGAGGAAUGGGGGGGCCAGCCCAGUGGCGCAGCGGUUAAGUUCGCACAUUCCACUUCAGUGGCCUGGUGUUUACCAGUUCGGAUCCUGGGUGCAGGACAUACGCACCGCUCACCCAGCUGAUGUGGGCUCAGUGAGCUGAGGAGUUGAAAGAAAGAUUUCUUGGACUCUCAAGGUCUGGUGGUAGUGCUCCUUUAUUCAGAGAAUAGCAUGGAGUAGCAUGGGGACAGGACCCAUGGCAGCAUAGGGGCAGGAGUUGUGGGCAGUGAAGAGCUGCAG
rnacentral:lncRNA from 1 species